GGUAGCUCGCUGGGCUCAUAACCCAGAGGUCGCAGGUUCAAAUCCUGUCCCCGCUA
rnacentral:tRNA from 1 species